AUGCUUGUUGGGGGAGAUAGAAUAUGAGCUGGGUAUGAAAGAAUGAGGAGUAGAUAAGCUUCUGGCUUGGUGACUACUCGGCUUCCCCAUCACCCCCACCUGUAGUAGAGACCACUCUGGGCCAGUAACCAUGGCGAUAGGAGAAGACGUGAGCAGAUGGGAGCACUAUGUGCAGAACUUAAACAUCCUUGUGUUGGGGGGAGAGACAAGACUGGACUGGAAGAUACUGUGAAGUCCAGGAGGACCAAAACUGUGAAGAUACCAAAAGAUGACCAUCUAUAAGCCAAGAAGAAAGACCUCAGGAGAAAUCAAUCCUGCUGACACCUUGGU
rnacentral:lncRNA from 1 species